ACAGUGAUGAGCCAGAGGUCCACCUUCUGACCCACUAAUAGCAGAACCACGGGAAUCUCAGAGAUGGGGGCGGGACUCUGCCAGAGGGGCCAAACGGACUUUGUCCAUUGUGCUUAGCAGUGGAUGGAGCUCCAGAGUCCUGGGAGAGCCAGGUUUGAAGCUGAAAGGCCUAGAACUCCAUGCCUUCGUGAUGACAGAGAACUCCAGGUCUCGGGAGCCGACAUGACCAUCGCGUGACCAUCGCCCGUGUGUAACUAAUGACCUGUGGAACUGUGCUGUGGAACCCUACUUUCCUCACCAUGGGACCUCAGUGAACCUACCUGUUCCUGUCAUCAAGGAGGGAGAUCCUUCUUGGUUCCCACGAGGAAGAUGAAGCAGGAGCCUGCCUCAUUCUCCCUCAGCACGUCCUCCAGCCACUGCCUGGAGUGCACAGAGGGGAAACAAGAGACUUGCACGUAGCCAGGAGGAACAGGGAUGGUACCCUGACCUACACUGACUUGGCUGGGACGCUGGGGCUGGAGUCAGAGGGCCUCCGUGGGACCAGAAGGAGCUGGAAUUACAAAGGCACUGGUUUGGGAGAGGUGAAGACUCCUACUGUGAGACCUGGGGGACCCCUGUUGUUAUCUGCUAGAAAAACCUUUCCUGUCUCUUUCAUAGGGCCUGGAGAACUCUGAUGUGAAUGGCCCAGGCAAAAAGAGUGGGGAGGGACUUUGGUCCAUUAGGUGGAUUAUGGCUGGCAGAUGAUAGCCCUCUGAAAUUGGUCAUAUUGCCCACAUCUCUGCCCAAUACAGCGAGUAAAAAAAAUUCUGUCAGGGAGGACUAGCUAGAACAUUAUUAGGGACCAAUAUAAAAGGGAACGGAGGGGCCCUUGUGCAAAAUUAAGAUUUCCAAUAUGGUGGCAAUGGGAUAUCAUUGCCAACUGUGGCCUGUCAGCUUAAGGCCCCGGGCAGCAGAUGAGGACACGUCUUUAGGGCUGAGUGGGGAACUGGCUAGGGCUAAAGUGCCCGGCAUUCUGGGUCCAGCCCUGAGACUAAGGUUUGGGAGCCCUUCUGGGUAGCUUUGUGACUCUCUGACGCACGGA
rnacentral:lncRNA from 1 species